rnacentral:rRNA from 1 species
UACGGCGAGUGAAGCGGCAAAAGCUCAAAUUUGAAAUCUGGUACCUUCGGUGCCCGAGUUGUAAUUUGGAGAGGGCAACUUUGGGGCCGUUCCUUGUCUAUGUUCCUUGGAACAGGACGUCAUAGAGGGUGAGAAUCCCGUGUGGCGAGGAGUGCGGUUCUUUGUAAAGUGCCUUCGAAGAGUCGAGUUGUUUGGGAAUGCAGCUCUAAGUGGGUGGUAAAUUCCAUCUAAAGCUAAAUAUUGGCGAGAGACCGAUAGCGAACAAGUACAGUGAUGGAAAGAUGAAAAGAACUUUGAAAAGAGAGUGAAAAAGUACGUGAAAUUGUUGAAAGGGAAGGGCAUUUGAUCAGACAUGGUGUUUUGUGCCCUCUGCUCCUUGUGGGUAGGGGAAUCUCGCAUUUCACUGGGCCAGCAUCAGUUUUGGUGGCAGGAUAAAUCCAUAGGAAUGUAGCUUGCCUCGGUAAGUAUUAUAGCCUGUGGGAAUACUGCCAGCUGGGACUGAGGACUGCGACGUAAGUCAAGGAUGCUGGCAUAAUGGUUAUAUGCCGCCCGUCUUGAAACACGG